rnacentral:tRNA from 1 species
AUUUUAAUAGUUUAAAAAAACAUUGAUAUUGUAAAUCAAAGUUAUAUUAAAUUAAUAUUUAAAAUA